rnacentral:rRNA from 1 species
AUUGAACGCUGGCGGCAGGCCUAACACAUGCACGUCGAGCGGAGCGGCGGACGGGUGAGUAAUGCCUAGGCAUCUGCCUGGUAGCAGGUGAUAACGUCCGGAAACGGGCGCUAAUACCGCAUCCUAUCAGAUGAGCCUAGGUCGGAUUAGCUCGUUGGUGGGGUAAAUGCCUACAAAGGCGACGAUCCGUAACUGGUCUGAGAGGAUGAUCAGUCACACUGGAACUGAGACACGGUCCAGACUCCGACGGGAGGCAGCAGUGGGGAAUAGUGGGCAAUGGGCGAAAGCCUGAUCCAGCCAUGCCGCGUGUGUGAAGAAGGUCUUCGGAAUGUAGAGCACUUAAAGUUGGGAGGCGUUACCAACAGAAUAAGCACCGGCUAACUUCGUGCCAGCAGCCGCGGUAAUUC